rnacentral:rRNA from 1 species
AUUGAACGCUGGCGGCAGGCCUAACACAUGCAAGUCGAACGAGUGGCGGACGGGUGAGUAAUGUCUGGGAAACUGCCCGAUGGCGGGGGAUAACUACUGGAAACGGUAGCUAAUACCGCAUACCAUCGGAUGUGCCCAGAUGGGAUUAGCUAGUAGGUGGGGUAACGGCUCACCUCGGCGACGAUCCCUAGCUGGUCUGAGAGGAUGACCAGCGAAACUGGAACUGAGACACGGCCCAGCCGCCUACGGGAGGCAGCAGUGGGGAAUAUGGCACAAUGGGCGCAAGCCUGAUGCAGCCAGGCCGCGUGUAUGAAGAAGGCCUUCGGGGUGUAAAGUACUUUCAGCGGGGAGGCGUUACCCGCAGAAGAAGCACUGGCUAACUCCGUGCCAGCAGCCGCGGUAAUAC